rnacentral:rRNA from 1 species
UAGGGAAUCUUCGGCAAUGAGGGCAACCCUGACCGAGCAACGCCGCGUGAGUGAAGAAGGUUUUCGGAUCGUAAAGCUCUGUUGUAAGAGAAGAACGUGUGUGAGAGUGGAAAGUUCACACAGUGACGGUAACUUACCAGAAAGGGACGGCUAACUACGUGCCUG